GAUGAACGCUGGCGGCGUGCUUAACACAUGCAAGUCGAACGGGGAAGGCGGAGCUUGCUCUGCUGGAUCAGUGGCGAACGGGUGAGUAACACGUGAGCAAUCUGCCCCUGACUCUGGGAUAAGCGCUGGAAACGGCGGCUAAUACUGGAUACGAGCUGCGAAGGCAUCUUCAGCAGCUGGAAAGAAUUUCGGUCAGGGAUGAGCUCGCGGCCUAUCAGCUUGUUGGUGAGGUAAUGGCUCACCAAGGCGUCGACGGGUAGCCGGCCUGAGAGGGUGACCGGCCACACUGGGACUGAGACACGGCCCAGACUCCUACGGGAGGCAGCAGUGGGGAAUAUUGCACAAUGGGCGAAAGCCUGAUGCAGCAACGCCGCGUGAGGGACGACGGCCUUCGGGUUGUAAACCUCUUUUAGCAGGGAAGAAGCGAAAGUGACGGUACCUGCAGAAAAAGCGCCGGCUAACUACGUG
rnacentral:rRNA from 1 species